UUCUCUUUGACUUCCUCAGGUGUUUAGUCACGGCCCAAAACAUUCAAAAUUUAAUAUUAUGUUUUAGGUGAACAAUUCUACAAAGUCGAUUUAUUUUGUUAAAAUAUCCCAAGUAUGCCCUCUUGUCACGCGCCGUGGAUUACAGGAAUCGUUCUUGAGCUGAGAGGAUGAACACAAAAAUGAAAUGAAAUCUUUGGAAACCAUAAAAUAAUUCUCGAUUGUACUCUAAACAUUUUGAAGAAAUAAGGAAUUCCAACUCUCAAGCCAACAUUGCUCAAACAUCUAAAACCUAAAGUUCCAAGGCUCACAAAAAACUCCAACAAACCCAAUUUUAUUCAGGAGAACAAUGUCAAAAAGAUCUCCACAAUUUCAGGAUCAUACAUACUUCCCUCCUUAUUUGGAACCUUCUACUUCCGAAAAUAGAGAAAUAGACUUAGUGAACAUGAAUCUAAUUUCAUCAACAAUUAAAUGAAUAAAACUUCUUAUAAUAAUUUUUUUUUUUUUUUUGCAAUAGUUACUUUAUCGUUGGAAAAGGGUAAUUUUAUGCUGUAUUACAGAUAUUUCUCCUGAGGUAAAACAUCUAAGGGAAAUAAAUACCAACAUAUAAAUCCAACUUGGAGUCUAUGAAGCAGAAAUAAAGGAAUUAAA
rnacentral:lncRNA from 1 species